ensembl:snoRNA
CUGCACUGCCAAGUGGCUAGUUGGUCUUCUCCUUGACCUACUAAGUCUCAUUGCAGUGCAAGAUGAACUCCCUUCUAGCAGAAGGGCCAGGCCAUUUCAGUGGUCUGUCUCUUUCGAUGGUUGGGUACAAAC